GCGGGUGUGGCGGAAUGGUAGACGCACCAGAUUUAGGUUCUGGCGCCGCAAGGCGUGAAGGUUCAAGUCCUUUCACCCGCACCA
rnacentral:tRNA from 1 species